UACGUAGGGUGCAAGCGUUAAUCGGAAUUACUGGGCGUAAAGCGUGCGCAGGCGGUUCGUUGUGUCGGUGGUGAAAGCCCCGGGCUUAACCUGGGAAUGGCCAUGGAAACUGGCGAACUGGAGUGUGGCAGAGGGGGGUGGAAUUCCUGGUGUAGCGGUAAAAUGCGCAGAUAUCAGGAAGAACACCCGUGGCGAAAGCGGCUCUCUGGAACGGUACUGACGCUGAGACGCGAAAGCGUGGGGAGCGAACAGG
rnacentral:rRNA from 1 species